CGGCCAUACACAGCUUGAUGAGGAAUGGGGACAACUGCAUCUGUUUAGAGUCUUCUGGGCUUCCUUCUACACCCAGUCCAGACCAAACUCCUUGAGAUCAAGGCCAGGAGAGAACCAUGUGGUUUCUUCAGGAAGCAGCAUUCAAGCAAGCUGUGCUAGCUCUCCUCCUUGCCUGCCCCACCACUGGAACCUGCCUGAAGGUGUCAGCAACCUCUUUGCAUCUCAGGAUGGAACCUGGAACAGCUCUGAGCCCAGUUCAGAAAAACCACCUUCUCCCAGAUGGAAAACGCAUCUGUCGGCUGCCUCCCUGAAGACGAUGCUUUCAGUCAAAUUGUCCAAAUCCUUGCUCGGCCACUGACCAGGCGCUUGACCUUGGGCUGGCUGCUUCACUUCUCUGAGCCCCAGAUUCCUCUUCUGUAAAGUGGGUGUGAUAGUAACAGCUGUCUCAUACAGUUGUUGGGAAG
rnacentral:lncRNA from 1 species